GACGGAGGGGGCUAGCGUUGUUCGGAAUGACUGGGCGUAAAGGGCGCGUAGGCGGCCGAUCAAGUCAGGCGUGAAAGCCUCAGGCUUAACCUGAGAACUGCGCUUGAUACUGGUUGGCUAGAGAACGAGAGAGGAAAGCGGAAUUCCGAGUGUAGAGGUGAAAUUCGUAGAUAUUCGGAGGAACAUCAGAGGCGAAGGCGGCUUUCUGGCUCGUUACUGACGCUGAGGCGCGAAAGCGUGGGGAGCAAACAGG
rnacentral:rRNA from 1 species